ensembl:lncRNA
GACAAUUAUUUUAAUGAUUAUUUCAUUGGCAAAGUGGGCAAACUUAGGCAGGAAGUGUCAACAACAUCAUAUUCAUGGGCAGGAAGUGUCAACAACAUCAUAUUCAUGGGCAGGAAGUGUCAACAACAUCAUAUUCAUGGGCAGGAAGUGUCAACAACAUCAUAUUCAUGGGCAGGAAGUGUCAACAACAUCAUAUUCAUGGGCAGGAAGUGUCAACAACAUCAUAUUCAUGGGCAGGAAGUGUCAACAACAUCAUAUUCAUGGGCAGGAAGUGUCAACAACAUCAUAUUCAUAGGCAGGAAGUGUCAACAACAUCAUAUUCAUGGGCAGGAAGUGUCAACAACAUCAUAUUCAUGCAUAAAAAAACAAAUAAUGAAAGAAAAGCUUUGCAAACUUGAAUUUUGUAACGAUAGUGUGGAAAAAUGAUUGUUAACGAUCAAUAAUGACAAACCUCCUGGCAUUGACAACUUAGAUGGAAAGCUACUGAGGGUGGUAGCUGACUCUAUAGUCACUCCAAUCUGUCAUAUCUUUAAUCUGAGUCUAGAGGAAAGUGUUUGUCCUCAGGUCUGGAGGGAAGCCAAAGUCAUUCUGCUACCCAAGAGUGGUAAAGAGGCUUUUACUGGUUCUAACAGCAGACCAAUCAGCUUGCUGCCAGCUCUGAACAUACUGUUGGAAAAAAUGGUGUUUGACCAAAUACAAUGCUAUUCUCUGUGAACAAAUUAACAACAGACUUUCGGCAUGCUUAUAGAGAAGGGUACUCAACAUGUACUGCACUGACACAAAUGACUGAUGAUUGGUUGAAAUAAAUUGAAAAUAAGAAGAUUAUGAGAGCUGCACUAUAGAUUUCAGUGCUACCUUUGGUAUUAUUGACCGUAACCUGUUCGUGCCGUGGGGGAGAUCUUCGUGGGCUAUACUCGGCCUUGUCUCGGGAUAGGCAAAGUGGGUCUCCUGUCUUAUCCGGUUUCCUGUGUGAAUUUAAGUACUAGGUUUCUUUCUAGGUUCCUGCCUUUCUAGGGAGGUUUUCCUAGCCAUCAUGCUUCUACACCUGCAUUUUAGGCUGGGUUUCUGUACAGCACUUUGUGAUAUCAGCUGAUGUAAAAGAGCUUUAUACCGUUCUACCGUUCAAAAGUUUGGGGUCACUUAGAAAUGUCCUUGUUUUUGAAAUAAAAGCACAUUUUUUGUCCAUUACAAUCAUGUCAAAUUGAUCAGAAAUACAGUGUAGACAUUGUUAAUGUUGUAAAUGACUAUUGUAGCUGGAAACGGCAGAUUUUUUAUGGAAUAUCUACAUAGGCGUACAGAGGUCCAUUAUCAGCAACCUUCAAUCCUGUGUUCCAAUGGCACGUUGUGUUAGCUAAUCCAAGUUGAUCAUUUUAAAAGGCUAAUUGAUCAUUAGAAAACCCUUUUACAAUUAUGUUAGCACAGCUGAAAACUGUUGUUCUGAUUAAAGAAGCAAUAAAACUGGCCUUCUUUAGACUAGUUGAGUAUCUGGAGCAACAACAUUUAUGGGUUUGAUUACAGGCUCAAAACAUCCAGAAAAAAAAACCUUUCUUCUGAAACUCAUCAGUCUAUUCUUGUUCUGAGAAAGGAAGUCUAUUCCAUGCGAGAAAUUGUCAAGAAACUGAAGAUCUCGUACAAAGCUGUGUACUACUCCCUUCACAGAACAGAGCAAACUGGCCCUAACCAGAAUAGAAAGAGGAGUGGGAGGCCCCGGUGCACAACUGAGCAAAAGGACAAGUACAUUAUAGUGUCUAGUUUGAGAAACAGACACCUCACAAGUCCUCAACUGGCAGCUUCAUUAAAUAGUACCCGCAAAACACCAGUCUCAACGUCAAUGGGAUGCUGGCCUUCUAGGCAGAGAUCCUCUGUCCAGUGUCUGUGUUCUUUUGCCCAUCUUAAUCUUUUAUUUUUAUUGGCCAGUCUGAGAUAUGGCUUUUUCUUUGCAACUCUGCCUAGAAGGCCAGCAUCCCGGAGUCGCCUCUUCACUGUUGACGUUGAGACUGGUGUUUUGUGGGUACAAUUUUUUUUUUUAUAAAGGUGCCUGUUGAAUUUUUUUCUGCCUAAACGAGUCUGACCACUAAUCAACGACCACUAUGAUGACACACCAAAUGUGUUUGAUGGAUCGCAGGAAAAGAGCAGAAAUAGGCUUUUGUAAGCUACAGUCCAAGCUAUGUCUUCCAAUGGUGCGACUGCAGUCGGCAUCAAAACAUCAUCCAAUUUCAAUGACUGCUUAGAUGUAAGGACGACAGCAGCGGUGUAGCUUACGGAUACGGAUACUAUCCUACAGUUUUUUGUGUCACCUCUAUUAGACUCCCAUUAGAAUCCUAUUGGACUCCGAUCAGAAUCCUAUCGGAAUCCCAUUAGAAUCCUAUUGGACUCCUAUCAGAAUCCCAUUAGAAUCCUAUUGGACUCCUUCCUAUCAGAAUCCUAUUAUAAUCCUAUUGGACUCCUUCCUAUCAGAAUCCUAUUAUAAUCCUAUUGGACUCCUAUUAGAAUCCUAUUGGACUCCUAUCAGAAUCCUAGUAGAAUCCUAUUGGACUCCGAUCAAAAUCCUAUUAGAAUCCUAUUGGACUCCUAUUAGCAUCCUAUUGGACUCCUAUUAGAAUCCUAUUAGACUCAUAUUAGAAUCCUAUUAGAAUCCUAUUGGACUCCUGUCAGAAUCCCAUUAGAAUCCUAUUGGACUGCUAUUGGACUCCUAUUAGGUCAGGUGUAUAUUAGUACUGGUCUCAGGUCAUUAAUACAAAUAAUACAAUUAAUAAGUUCGGGAGUAAAAAUGUGCCUAACAAGUCACAUAAUAAGUUGCAUGGACUCAAUAAUAGUGUUUAACUCCAUCUAUCUCUCCUGUUAUAGUAAAUCAGGCAUCUAUCUCUCCUGUUAUAGUAAAUCAGGCAUCUAUCUCUCCUGUUAUAGCAAAUCAGGCAUCUAUCUCUCCUGUUAUAGUAAAUCAGGCAUCCAGCACCCCUGUUAUAGUAAAUCAGGCAUCUAUCUCUCCUGUUAUAGUAAAUCAGGCAUCUAUCUCUCCUGUUAUAGUAAAUCAGGCAUCUAUCUCUCCUGUUAUAAUAAAUCAGGCAUCCAGCACCCCUGUUAUAGUAAAUCAGGCAUCUAUCUCUCCUGUUAUAGUAAAUCAGGCAUCUAUCUCUCCUGUUAUAAUAAAUCAGGCAUCCAGCACCCCUGUUAUAGUAAAUCAGGCAUCUAUCUCUCCUGUUAUAGUAAAUCAGGCAUCUAUCUCUCCUGGUAUAGUAAAUCAGGCAUCUAUCUCUCCUGUUGUAGUAAAUCGGGCAUCCAGCACCCCUGUUACAGUAAAUAAGGCAUCCACACCCCUGUUAUAGUAAAUAAGGCAUCCACACCCCUGUUAUAGUAAAUAAGGCAUCCACACCCCUGUUAUAGUAAAUAAGGCAUCCACACCCCUGUUAUAGUAAAUAAGGCAUCCACACCCCUGUUAUAGUAAAUAAGGCAUCCACACCCCUGUUAUAGUAAAUAAGGCAUCCACACUCCUGUUAUAGUAAAUAAGGCAUCCAGCACCCCUGUUAUAGUAAAUCAGGCAUCUAUCUCUCCUGUUAUAGUAAAUCAGGCAUCUAUCUGUCCUGUUGUAGUAAAUCGGGCAUCCAGCACCCCUGUUAUAGUAAAUCAGGCAUCUAUCUCUCCUGUUAUAGUAAAUCAGGCAUCUAUCUCUCCUGUUAUAGUAAAUAAGGCAUCCACACUCCUGUUAUAGUAAAUAAGGCAUCCACACCCCUGUUAUAGUAAAUAAGGCAUCCACACCCCUGUUAUAGUAAAUCUGCCUUUAGAAGAUCAGUCCUGUUGAAAAUAGGAUUAAGAGGAAGGCAGGCAGGAAGGCACACCAGGCCAGCCAACAUGCCAGGCCAGCCAACAUGCCAGGCCAGCCAACAUGCCAGGCCAGCCGACACAGACAAACGAUUUUGACAGCCAAUGUCUAUGAGCUCUUGGCAUGGAGUAAUACUAGGAAUUAGGCUUACUACCAGGGGAUUCUUCGCUCUCACAGCAUGGGAUAAUUAUUAAAAAUAUUCUUUAUUUAACUCGGCUAGUCAGUUAAGAACAAAUUCUUAUUCACAAUGACGUCCCAACCGGGGAACAGUGGGUUAACUGCCUUGUUCAGGGGAACAGUGGGUUAACUGCCUUGUUCAGGGGAACAGUGGGUUAACUGCCUUGUUCAGGGGAACAGUGGGUUAACUGCCUUGUUCAGGGGAACAGUGGGUUAACUGCCUUGUUCAGGGGAACAGUGGGUUAACUGCCUUGUUUAGGGGAACAGUGGGUUAACUGCCUUGUUCAGGGGAACAGUGGGUUAACUGCCUUGUUUAGGGAACCGUGGGUUAACUGCCUUGUUCAGGGGAACAGUGGGUUAACUGUCUUGUUCAGGGGCGGAACGACUGCCUUGUUCAGGGGAACAGUGGGUUAACUGCCUUGUUCAUGGGAACAGUGGGUUAACUGUCUUGUUCAGGGGAACAGUGGGUUAACUGUCUUGUUCAGGGAACAGUGGGUUAACCGCCUUGUUCAGGGGAACAGUAGGUUAACCGCCUUGUUCCGGGGAACAGUGGGUUAACUGCCUUGUUCAGGGGAAAAGUGGGUUAACUGUCUUGUUCGGGGGACAGUGGGUUAACUGUCUUGUUCAGGGGAACAGUGGAAAGAUAGUUACCUUGUCAGCUCGGGGGAUUCGAUCCAGCAAACCUUUCGGUUACUGGUCCAACGCUCUAACCGCUAGACUACCUGCCUCCUCUAACCGCUAGGCUACCUGUCUCCUC